rnacentral:rRNA from 1 species
UACGUAGGGUGCGAGCGUUAAUCGGAAUUACUGGGCGUAAAGCGUGCGCAGGCGGUUCGCUGUGUCCGAUGUGAAAGCCCCGGGCUCAACCUGGGAAUGGCAUGGGAAACUGGCGGGCUGGAGUGUGGCAGAGGGGGGUGGAAUUCCGCGUGUAGCAGUGAAAUGCGUAGAGAUGCGGAGGAACACCGAUGGCGAAGGCAGCCCCCUGGGCCAACACUGACGCUCAGGCACGAAAGCGUGGGGAGCAAACAGG